rnacentral:lncRNA from 1 species
GUUCUUUGAAGCUGCUUCAUGCAGAGGAGUGAACUGCCACAGAUCCAUCGCAUUCACACAUGCUCCAUGCUUCACUAGAAGCUCUGUUACUUCAUAAUGGCCAUAGGAACAGGCAUUGUGAAGUGGCACCAAAUCUCCCUUAUCCUUAGCGUGCACAUCAGCCCCAUGUUGCAGUAACAGCUGUACUAUUUUUACACGGUUAUACCCAGCUGCUAGAUGUAGAGGAGUAGACUUCCUGCCAUCACUCGCAUGACAGUUAACAUUCAAUGGUGUAAGAAGAGACAUCAUCUUUUCUUCAUUUCCACUCCUGGCACUUUCUAAGAGCU